rnacentral:lncRNA from 1 species
ACAUUCAAGACUAGACUAUCUGAAACCAUGAAGGGUCACAAUACAGGAGAUGCAUUUCACUGUAUUAUAACAUUAUUACUUUGAGAUGUACAGAGGUUAUAGUAACAUACCGAAGAUUUUACAAACUCUUGGAUAUGGGGUCCACAUACCUUCUGAAAUGUGUCUGAACAUUCUCCAGCCUUCAACUGCAUUUCAACCAGCAGCAUUUCAGUAGACAGAAGAGAAAGGUGGAUCUGCACUUGAUGCACAGCAAUAAUACAGAUGUGGUGGUAACCGAGCAGUUCCCUGAGUGCCAGACGAUCAGUCAACAGAGGAGGCUGCUACAGGAUGUUGAUUUCCUUUCUCAAGCUUGCAAGCAGCUAAACAUGGUCUACAAAUUUUCUGCUAGAAGAGUGGACUGCAAUAUUGCCCAAACUUGCUCCUUCAUCAUUUAUUAUAACUGAGCUUCAACAUAUGAAUUUUGGGAGGACACAAAUAUUUAUUCCAUAACAGAAAGGGUCAAUCCUGGAAGGAGGGAAUAGAAUUUGCAAGGAUAUGAAGUGAAAG